GUGGCCGAGUGGUUAGGGCGUCGGACUUGUAAUUCGGAGAUCCCGGGUUCAAGCCCUCCACA
rnacentral:tRNA from 1 species